UUUGUAGCUUUAGCCCGCCCGGGUCAGCCAGGUGCGAGCCCGCCGCGGCCAGAAAGCUUAUGCAACGGCCCACGGGGUCGGCCAUUGAGGUGUGGCUCCCGGGGCCGCGCCGCCGCCGGACAGAGGCCGGCGCUGACCCGGAUCCCCCGUCCCGCAGGAGGGGGCGGGCUGCCCUGCGGGCUCCGGCACCCGGCGGCGGCUCGGGACCGCCGCCAAGCAAGGCCUGCCCGGGCGGGCCGGCUCCCCUAGGGACGGCGCGCCGACAUCUUAGCGCCGGCGGGGACAAAGCGCGGCGGCGGCAGCGCUGGCUGCUGGCAGGGCGCAGCUCGGCCGCCGCCCCGGAGCCGCGGCUGUCGCCAGCCGUGACUGACACCCCCGCCAGGGAGAUUUCAAACCAGCGCGGCUCCAGCCCGGCGCCUCCCGGGCACACGCGCACCGCGCCGCCUGCGCGGCGGGGGGACGGGGGGGACUGGGGGGACGGGGCGGGGGGGGGGGGGAGGAGAGCGCCGCUGCGCAGCUGUGGCUCUGCGCUGACCCCUGCGGCGCGGGCGGGCUGACAGGCCCCGCGGGCCGCGUCGUCCCGGCGCAGCGGCGCGGUAAGCGCGGCGGCGGGCCUGCCUCCCCGCGGCGCGGGGGCCGCGCGAGCCAGGACCGGAGCAGGCCGCGGGCUCUCGGCGGGUCCCGCUCAUUGUUCCUCGCACGAGCCCUCGCAAACAGGAAGCCGCCUCGGCAUGGGGCGCCCCCCCCGCCCCUGGAGAGUGACUGGCAGGCCGGGCGGCCAGUGCGAGCGGCGGCGGCUGCGAGGCGCAGCCAAUGAGCGCGCGCGCACGGGCGUAGGCGGGAGUUCCGGGCUGGCAGGCGGGCGGGCGGGCGGCGGUGUCGGCCGGGCCCCCUCUCCCGCUGCAAGCCCCACCUUUCGGCUUUCCCGCACCGUCAAUCAAAAUAGGAAAAAAAACCCCGGAGUAGGCUCGGGCCGCCGCCGCCGCUUCAGCCCGUGAGCACAAUAAGCAUGUCCCCGGCAGCAGCCGCCUAGCCCCAGCCAGCAGGGCCUGUGUGCGAGCCAGCCAGCCUGCCUGCCUGCCUCCCGCCCAGCCAGCCAGCCGGCCGCUCGCACUCACACCAUGACCGCUCCCGAGAAGCCCGUGAAACAAGAGGAAAUGGCUGCCUUAGACGUGGACAGCAGCAGCCACAGCGAGUAUCUCCAGCACGGCAACGGCGCCGCCUCGGCCUCCGCCGGGGCGGCUGCCCCCCAGGACGCUCAGCCGUCACCGCUCGCUCUGCUGGCGGCCACCUGCAGCAAGAUCGGCCCGCCGUCGCCGGAGGAGGAUGAGGCCGCCGCCGCCGCCGCUGCCUCUCACUCUGCCGGAGCGACAGGGGAUUUGGCUUCUGUGCAAUUAACAGGAACUCCAAAUAGAUGGGAGGUCUUGUCUGCAGCUCCUGCCACUAUAAAGGAUGAAGCUGGUAAUAUAGUACAGAUUCCAGGUGCUGCCACAGUAACUUCAAGUGGGCAGUAUGUCCUUCCUAUUCAGAGUUUGCAAAAUCAACAAAUCUUUUCUGUUGCACCAGGAUCAGAUUCAUCGAAUGGUACAGUGUCUAACGUACAAUACCAAGUAAUACCCCAGAUCCAGACAGCGGAUGGUCAGCAGGUUCAACUGGGCUUUACAGCCUCUUCUGAUAAUAGCAGUAUAAAUCAAGAAACUGGUCAAAUUCAGAUCAUUCCUGGCUCUAAUCAAACCAUCAUUGCCUCUGGAACACCUUCAGCUAAUAUUCAGAAUAUCUUGUCGCAGUCUGGUCAAGUCCAGGUUCAGGGAGUUGCAAUUGGUGGUUCAUCUUUUCCUGGCCAAGCGCAAGUAGUUGCUAAUGUCCCUCUUGGACUGCCAGGAAAUAUUACUUUUGUACCCAUCAAUAGUGUUGAUCUAGAUUCUCUGGGACUUGGCAGUGGUUCUCAAACCAUGACAGCAGGCAUUAAUGCAGAUGGGCACUUGAUAAAUACUGGACAGGCCAUGGAUAGUUCAGAUACUUCUGAAAGGACUGGUGAGCAAGUUUCUCCUGAAAUUACAGAAACCGCCACCGAUAAUGACUUAUUUGUGCCAACAUCAUCUUCAUCACAAUUGCCCGUUACCAUAGACAGUUCAAGUAUAUUGGAACAAAAUGCAAACAACUUGACUACAACUAGUGGUCAAGUUCACAGUUCUGAUCUUCAGGGAAAUUACAUCCAGACGUCAGUCUCUGAUGACACACAGGCUCAGAAUAUUCAGGUCUCCACAGCACAGCCAAUUGUACAACACAUACAGCUUCAAGAGUCUCAGCAGCCAACCAGUCAAGCCCAGAUUGUACAAGGUAUUGCGCAACAGACAAUCCACGGUGUCCAAGCAAGUCAAAGUAUAUCUCAACAGGCUCUUCAAAAUCUUCAACUGCAGCUGAAUCCUGGAACUUUUUUAAUUCAGGCACAAACAGUGACCCCUUCUGGGCAGAUAACCUGGCAGACAUUUCAAGUGCAAGGAGUUCAGAACUUGCAGAACUUGCAAAUUCAGAAUGCACCUGGUCAACAAAUAACUCUAACCCCUGUGCAGACUCUCACUCUUGGUCAAGUUGCAGCAGGUGGGGCAUUGACGUCAACUCCAGUUAGUCUAAGCACUGCUCAAUUGCCAAAUCUACAGACAGUUACAGUAAACUCUAUAGAUUCUGCUGGUAUUCAGCUGCAUCAAGGAGAAAAUGCUGGCAGUCCUGCAGAUAUUAGGAUUAAAGAAGAGGAGCCUGAUCCAGAAGAGUGGCAGCUCAGUGGUGAUUCUACACUGAAUACCAAUGAUCUAACACAUUUGAGAGUACAGGUGGUAGAUGAGGAAGGGGACCAACCACAUCAAGAGGGAAAAAGACUGCGACGAGUAGCUUGCACAUGUCCCAACUGCAAAGAAGGUGGUGGAAGUUUGAUUGCUUUAGAGUGUUACAAAAAUACAGUUAUCCUGGUUUUCUUAUUCACUGGUUUCCUAAGAAAAACAAGUGGCUUUAAUGUAGAGACAUCUUCACUUUAAAAUCCUCUUCCUCCUAAGUGGAGUUGCUGUAACACCAAAUUUUAAAGUCGAAGCCCAAGAGAGAAUCUUUUUGAGAGGUGAUUUUGAUGAAGUCUGGAGAAGGGUGUAGUCUACCUGAAACUCAGAUAUGGGAAUUUGGGAAGGAGUUGAGAGAAGAGCUAGGACAGAGUUUAGGUGGGUGAGAAUCUGAAAUCCACUGUAAAGGAACAACUGGACACAUCAAAUACACAAAGUAAGUAGGAAAAGUAGGACAGGAAGUCAGGAAGAAUUAGGACUGGAAUAGAAACAGGGUAAUGAAGGAGACAAUAGUGGGGAAACAGAAAAGAGUGAAAGUGCCUACAGUUGCUAGAGCAACUUUCCCACCAGAAUGUAGAAUUCGUUCAGAGUUGAGCAAAAAGUAAGCCCACUUGGAGGAGUAUUUUCUUUCUCCCACUGAUACAUGUUGAUCAUGUUCCAUAGCUGCUACAUUACUUGUUUAUCUGUAGUGCUGUAAUUCUGAGUUUUGAUCUGUCUUUCAACUCUGCUGAUGACUUGUGGAGUUUCAGGUAAUAGGACAUUUGUUUUUAUAAAUUUCUUCAGAUAGCAUUCACAGUUCUUAAAAUGAUGUUAAAAUUGCAAAAUUGAAAACGUGGAAGUUGGCAAAUGUUGAAGUUAAGCUAUCCUGGGCAACUUUAAUCCCUUGUGCAUAUGCAUUAUCAUUUGGUUUCUAAUUACAUGGCUGCAUACUAUUUUUUUCGUAUGACCCCCAGUGUCAUUCAAUGGAUGGGAUGGAUGAUGCAUGGGGGGGGUGAAUCAGGGCUCUGUAAUGAUUAGCACCUGCUUCACUUAUUGCAGAAAGUGGAAGGCAUUUAGGGAAUGAGAUACGGGACUGCAGCAACAGGGCUUUGGAGGUGUUUGUCCCCCCCACCUUUUCCACUGCAGAAGUACUGAGUUCAUUCCUGUAAAGAAGUUGAUUGAGCUGAAUUGUGAACAUCUACAGCACUCUAAGAAAAUAUGCUUCUGCUGUAUUGAACUUGACACCUCAAACUGGUGGGUGUUGGACAGUUUCGGCCUUAAUCUCUUUGUCUCAUACUUGGAUGUAUGAAAUGAUUGUACUAGUUCAAGUUCACUACACAGGAGUGUUGCAAGAUGAUAAAUUCAUUAAUGUUUGUGAAUUGCUUAGACACUGUGAGUGUUGUGAGUGCCCAUGAGGAAAAAAAAAACCUUGGGGAAUGAAUAAUUCUGUAUUUAAGAUAGUACUUAAAUAAUAUGUAAGACAAGAAAAGUGCAUGAAAACAGUAUGAAAAAGCUGAAUAGCAUUUCACUCAAUGAAUACUAUCACUCCUAUGCACUGAAUGGAGUAGGAAAAGAUAGUACAUGGCUUCACAUAUGCAGACUUUAUCAUAAUUUCAUCUUUGUGUAGCCUUAGUUUUGGCAUUUCUUUUCUGUUUUCUGGAUGCAAAGGGGAGUUGAGGGUUUUUUUCUGUUCUUUGUUGUUGGCUUUUGUUGUUUUGUUUUUACUCUCGAUACAGAAUUAGACUACAUUGCAGUCUUCAAAGGAUUUCUAUUUGUACCAGUCCUGUGACGUAGGAAGCCAGUAUUAUCUUUACCUUACUUGGCAGGGGGUAGGUAGGAAACGAAGAGGAUGAUGUAUUAGGUGCGUAAAUUAAAACCUUAUAGCCUCAAGCUUAUAUAGUAAAUGGGGGAUAAGGAAGUGGGGGGGGAGGGGGGGAGAGAGAGAGAGAUAAGAGGGAUGUACCUCAAAGGAUGACUCUGAUCCCAGACAGACUGUAUGAGGCUUCUAGUUAGGGUGUCUGAAGUUAGAUGGAAAGUUCACCCUCCUCUCAGUUGCAUCCGGAGAUUUCACGCUCCUCUCAAUUACAUCUGGGAUUGCAUUGAGAUGUAGCUACUACUGUCUGGAUCUAUAGAGGAUCGGUGCUUCUGAAGUACUGCUUCAGAGGCUCCAACUUGGGAAAAAA